GAUGAACGCUGGCGGCGUGCCUAAUACAUGCAAGUCGAGCGAACGGACGAGAAGCUUGCUUCUCUGAUGUUAGCGGCGGACGGGUGAGUAACACGUGGAUAACCUACCUAUAAGACUGGGAUAACUUCGGGAAACCGGAGCUAAUACCGGAUAAUAUUUUGAACCGCAUGGUUCAAAAGUGAAAGACGGUCUUGCUGUCACUUAUAGAUGGAUCCGCGCUGCAUUAGCUAGUUGGUAAGGUAACGGCUUACCAAGGCAACGAUGCAUAGCCGACCUGAGAGGGUGAUCGGCCACACUGGAACUGAGACACGGUCCAGACUCCUACGGGAGGCAGCAGUAGGGAAUCUUCCGCAAUGGGCGAAAGCCUGACGGAGCAACGCCGCGUGAGUGAUGAAGGUCUUCGGAUCGUAAAACUCUGUUAUUAGGGAAGGACAUAUGUGUAAGUAACUGUGCACAUCUUGACGGUACCUAAUCAGAAAGCCACGGCUAACUACGUGCCAGCAGCCGCGGUAAUACGUAGGUGGCAAGCGUUAUCCGGAAUUAUUGGGCGUAAAGCGCGCGUAGGCGGUUUUUUAAGUCUGAUGUGAAAGCCCACGGCUCAACCGUGGAGGGUCAUUGGAAACUGGAAAACUUGAGUGCAGAAGAGGAAAGUGGAAUUCCAUGUGUAGCGGUGAAAUGCGCAGAGAUAUGGAGGAACACCAGUGGCGAAGGCGACUUUCUGGUCUGUAACUGACGCUGAUGUGCGAAAGCGUGGGGAUCAAACAGGAUUAGAUACCCUGGUAGUCCACGCCGUAAACGAUGAGUGCUAAGUGUUAGGGGGUUUCCGCCCCUUAGUGCUGCAGCUAACGCAUUAAGCACUCCGCCUGGGGAGUACGACCGCAAGGUUGAAACUCAAAGGAAUUGACGGGGACCCGCACAAGCGGUGGAGCAUGUGGUUUAAUUCGAAGCAACGCGAAGAACCUUACCAAAUCUUGACAUCCUUUGACAACUCUAGAGAUAGAGCUUUCCCCUUCGGGGGACAAAGUGACAGGUGGUGCAUGGUUGUCGUCAGCUCGUGUCGUGAGAUGUUGGGUUAAGUCCCGCAACGAGCGCAACCCUUAAGCUUAGUUGCCAUCAUUAAGUUGGGCACUCUAAGUUGACUGCCGGUGACAAACCGGAGGAAGGUGGGGAUGACGUCAAAUCAUCAUGCCCCUUAUGAUUUGGGCUACACACGUGCUACAAUGGACAAUACAAAGGGCAGCGAAACCGUGAGGUCAAGCAAAUCCCAUAAAGUUGUUCUCAGUUCGGAUUGUAGUCUGCAACUCGACUACAUGAAGCUGGAAUCGCUAGUAAUCGUAGAUCAGCAUGCUACGGUGAAUACGUUCCCGGGUCU
rnacentral:rRNA from 1 species